GCGGCGGCGGUGAAGGGACGUUCGCCUAAUCAGCUCUUUUUGCCUACCCAGACUACCUGAAAACGGCUGCCGUGGCUGCGGAAUCGCAUCUUGACGUCGCUGAGUCUGCGGAAGUGUUUACGUGUUUCCGGCGUCGACAUCGUGCCUGGACACACGGGUGGCGGCGGCGGCGGUGAAAGGACGUUCGCCUAAUCAGCUCUUUUUGCCUACCCAGACUACCUGAAAACGGCUGCCAUGGCUGCGGAAUCGCAUCUUGACGUCACUGAGUCUGCGGAAGUGUUUACGUGUUUCCGGCGUCGACAUCGUGCCUGGACACACGGGUGGCGGCGGCGGCGGUGAAAGGACGUUCGCCUAAUCAGCUCUUUUUGCCUACCCAGGUUGGUAAAUUGGCUUAUUUUCUUAAUACCGCCUUACCGCUACCGCCGUUGCCACCGUGUUUCAGAGCUUUGUGGAGUGCUUUGUGCUAAAUGUGUUUUUUUCUGAACUGAAUGCUGCCGAAUUGCGUGCGAACUGA